rnacentral:tRNA from 1 species
GGGCGCUUAGCUCAGUUGGUUAGAGCGCCUGCCUUACAAGCAGGAGGUCCACAGUUCGAGCCUGUGAGCGCCCACCA